rnacentral:rRNA from 1 species
ACCCCGAGGAAAAGAAAUCAACCGAGAUUCCCCCAGUAGCGGCGAGCGAACGGGGAGGAGCCCAGAACCUGAAUCAGCGUAUGUGUUAGUGGAAGCGUCUGGAAAGUCGCACGGUACAGGGUGAUAGUCCCGUACACAAAAAUGCAUAUGUUGUGAGUUCGAUGAGUAGGGCGGGACACGUGACAUCCUGUCUGAAUAUGGGGGGACCAUCCUCCAAGGCUAAAUACUCCUGACUGACCGAUAGUGAACCAGUACCGUGAGGGAAAGGCGAAAAGAACCCCGGCGAGGGGAGUGAAACAGAACCUGAAACCGUGUACGUACAAGCAGUGGGAGCACCUUCGUGGUGUGACUGCGUACCUUUUGUAUAAUGGGUCAGCGACUUAUAUUUUGUAGCAAGGUUAACCGAAUAGGGGAGCCGUAGGGAAACCGAGUCUUAACUGGGCGAAUAGUUGCAAGGUAUAGACCCGAAACCCGGUGAUCUAGCCAUGGGCAGGUUGAAGGUUGGGUAACACUAACUGGAGGACCGAACCGACUAAUGUUGAAAAAUUAGCGGAUGACUUGUGGCUGGGGGUGAAAGGCCAAUCAAACCGGGAGAUAGCUGGUUCUCCCCGAAAGCUAUUUAGGUAGCGCCUCGUGAACUCAUCUUCGGGGGUAGAGCACUGUUUCGGCUAGGGGGUCAUCCCGACUUACCAAACCGAUGCAAACUCCGAAUACCGAAGAAUGUUAUCACGGGAGACACACGGCGGGUGCUAACGUCCGUCGUGAAGAGGGAAACAACCCAGACCGCCAGCUAAGGUCCCAAAGUCAUGGUUAAGUGGGAAACGAUGUGGGAAGGCACAGACAGCCAGGAUGUUGGCUUAGAAGCAGCCAUCAUUUAAAGAAAGCGUAAUAGCUCACUGGUCGAGUCGGCCUGCGCGGAAGAUGUAACGGGGCUAAACCAUGCACCGAAGCUGCGGCAGCGAACGUAUCACUUAAAACGCUUAACGUGACGGCAAAGCCGGCAUGUUCAAGCCACACUAAACGUUGAGUUGGCCGGUGUGCUGACAAACGAACAGGCGUUUUAAGGAUACGUUCGUUGGGUAGGGGAGCGUUCUGUAAGCCGUUGAAGGUGGUCUGUGAGGGCUGCUGGAGGUAUCAGAAGUGCGAAUGCUGACAUAAGUAACGAUAA